rnacentral:rRNA from 1 species
CUCGUAGGCGGCUCCGUAAGUCGAGGGUGAAAUACAACGGCUCAACCGUUGAAACGCCUUCGAAACUACGGAGCUUGAGGUCGGGAGAGGAAAGUGGAAUUCCUGGAGUAGCGGUGAAAUGCGUAGAUAUCAGGAGGAACACCAGUGGCGAAGGCGACUUUCUGGACCGAACCUGACGCUGAGGAGCGAAAGCUAGGGGAGCAAACA